rnacentral:rRNA from 1 species
GACGAACGCUGGCGGCGUGCCUAAUACAUGCAAGUUGAGCGCUGAAGGUUGGUACUUGUACCGACUGGAUGAGCAGCGAACGGGUGAGUAACGCGUGGGGAAUCUGCCUUUGAGCGGGGGACAACAUUUGGAAACGAAUGCUAAUACCGCAUAAAAACUUUAAACACAAGUUUUAAGUUUGAAAGAUGCAAUUGCAUCACUCAAAGAGGAUCCCGCGUUGUAUUAGCUAGUUGGUGAGGUAAAGGCUAACAAAGGCGAUGAUACAUAGCCGACCUGAGAGGGUGAUCGGCCACAUUGGGACUGAGACACGGCCCAAACUCCUACGGGAGGCAGCAGUAGGGAAUCUUCGGCAAUGGACGAAAGUCUGACCGAGCAACGCCGCGUGAGUGAAGAAGGUUUUCGGAUCGUAAAACUCUGUUGGUAGAGAAGAACGUUGGUGAGAGUGGAGAGCUCAUCAAGUGACGGUAACUACCCAGAAAGGGACGGCUAACUACGUGCCAGCAGCCGCCGUAA